GUUUGAUCCUGGCUCAGGAUGAACGCUAGCUACAGGCUUAACACAUGCAAGUCGAGGGGCAGCAUGGUCUUAGCUUGCUAAGGCCGAUGGCGACCGGCGCACGGGUGAGUAACGCGUAUCCAACCUGCCUUACACUCUUGGACAGCCUUCUGAAAGGGAGAUUAAUACAAGAUGUUAUCAUGAGUAAGCAUUUUCGCAUGAUUAAAGGUUUACCGGUGUAAGAUGGGGAUGCGUUCCAUUAGAUAGUAGGCGGGGUAACGGCCCACCUAGUCUUCGAUGGAUAGGGGUUCUGAGAGGAAGGUCCCCCACAUUGGAACUGAGACACGGUCCAAACUCCUACGGGAGGCAGCAGUGAGGAAUAUUGGUCAAUGGACGAGAGUCUGAACCAGCCAAGUAGCGUGAAGGAUGAAGGUUCUAUGGAUUGUAAACUUCUUUUAUACGGGAAUAAACGAAUCCACGCGUGGAUUUUUGCAUGUACCGUAUGAAUAAGGAUCGGCUAACUCCGUGCCAGCAGCCGCGGUAAUACGGAGGAUCCGAGCGUUAUCCGGAUUUAUUGGGUUUAAAGGGAGCGUAGAUGGGUUGUUAAGUCAGUUGUGAAAGUUUGCGGCUCAACCGUAAAAUUGCAAUUGAUACUGGCAGUCUUGAGUACAGUUGAGGUAGGCGGAAUUCGUGGUGUAGCGGUGAAAUGCUUAGAUAUCACGAAGAACUCCGAUUGCGAAGGCAGCUUACUAACCUGUAACUGACAUUGAUGCUCGAAAGUGUGGGUAUCAAACAGGAUUAGAUACCCUGGUAGUCCACACGGUAAACGAUGAAUACUCGCUGUAGGCGAUAUACAGUCUGCGGCCAAGCGAAAGCAUUAAGUAUUCCACCUGGGGAGUACGCCGGCAACGGUGAAACUCAAAGGAAUUGACGGGGGCCCGCACAAGCGGAGGAACAUGUGGUUUAAUUCGAUGAUACGCGAGGAACCUUACCCGGGCUUAAAUUGCAACCGAAUAUGGCGGAAACGCUAUAGCUAGCAAUAGCGGUUGUGAAGGUGCUGCAUGGUUGUCGUCAGCUCGUGCCGUGAGGUGUCGGCUUAAGUGCCAUAACGAGCGCAACCCUUGCCGAUAGUUACUAACAGGUCAUGCUGAGGACUCUGUCGGGACUGCCAUCGUAAGAUGUGAGGAAGGUGGGGAUGACGUCAAAUCAGCACGGCCCUUACGUCCGGGGCUACACACGUGUUACAAUGGGGGGUACAGAGGGCUGCUACCACGCAAGUGGAUGCCAAUCCCAAAAACCUCUCUCAGUUCGGAUUGAAGUCUGCAACCCGACUUCAUGAAGCUGGAUUCGCUAGUAAUCGCGCAUCAGCCACGGCGCGGUGAAUACGUUCCCGGGCCUUGUACACACCGCCCGUCAAGCCAUGGGAGCCGGGGGUACCUGAAGUGCGUACCGCAGGAGCGCCCUAGGGUAAAACUGGUGACUGGGGCUAAGUCGUAACAAGGUAGCCGUACCGGAAGGUGCGGCUGGAACACCUCCUUUCU
rnacentral:rRNA from 1 species